rnacentral:tRNA from 1 species
GCCGGGGUAGCUCAGCUGGUAGAGCAACGCUCUUGUAAAGCGUAGGUCAGGGGUUCGAGUCCCCUUCCCGGCU